rnacentral:rRNA from 1 species
UACGGAGGGGGCGAGCGUUAAUCGGAAUUACUGGGCGUAAAGCGUGCGCAGGCGGUUUCUUAAGUCAGAUGUGAAAGCCCCGGGCUUAACCUGGGAACUGCGUUUGAAACUGGGAGACUUGAGUGUGGCAGAGGGGGGUGGAAUUCCACGUGUAGCAGUGAAAUGCGUAGAGAUGUGGAGGAACACCGAUGGCGAAGGCAGCCCCCUGGGUUAACACUGACGCUCAGGCACGAAAGCGUGGGGAGCAAACAGG